rnacentral:rRNA from 1 species
GACGAACGCUGGCGGCGUGCUUAACACAUGCGAGUCGAACGGAAAGGCCCUGCUUUUGUGGGGUGCUCGAGUGGCGAACGGGUGAGUAACACGUGAGUAACCUGCCCUUGACUUUGGGAUAACUUCAGGAAACUGGGGCUAAUACCGGAUAGGAGCUCCUGCUGCAUGGUGGGGGUUGGAAAGUUUCGGCGGUUGGGGAUGGACUCGCGGCUUAUCAGCUUGGUGGUGGGGUAGUGGCUUACCAAGGCUUUGACGGGUAGCCGGCCUGAGAGGGUGACCGGCCACAUUGGGACUGAGAUACGGCCCAGACUCCUACGGGAGGCAGCAGUGGGGAAUAUUGCACAAUGGGCGGAAGCCUGAUGCAGCAACGCCGCGUGCGGGAUGACGGCCUUCGGGUUGUAAACCGCUUUCGCCUGUGACGAAGCGUGAGUGACGGUAAUGGGUAAAGAAGCACCGGCUAACUACGUG